UCAUUGUUGUUACUGCGUCCGUCCCUGUAUAUAGGUCACAAGCCGCACAUACGAAUUCAUAACGGUAAGCAUAUACUAGGCUAAUAGUUUUGAUUUUUCACCAUCUACGUCAUCGUGGCGUUCUUGUUUUGUGCUUGAAUUGUUAUUGUCUAACCCUAUACACACACAAGAUCCAUUCACACACAUAGCAAUUUUCGGAUGACAAAGAAAUAUAAAAUCUUCACAAUCACUACGACAAUCUCUUUGAGGCACCACCUUUCUUGAUAUUUUUGGGAGACCAAACCCUACAAAGAGAUUAAAAAAAAGAAUCAUUACUAAUAUAAUUUGAUUAUCAUAAACAAUUUACAAUAUUUUAAUGAACACAUACAUAGAGGAAGAAGAAAAAAUUAAAUGUGCCUGGAUUGGUUUUAAAAAGUUUUUAUUAGAAAUUAAUAUUAUUUUUAAUAGAUAAUGUUUCAAAUAAAUAUUUUAUUAAAACCCGUUAUAUAGUUUUUUGAAAAAAAAAAUCACAUUGUUAGUUUAACUAAAAGUAUAAUAUUUUUGUUCUAAUUAAAAACAUCAUUGUUUAGAACAGUUAUAAGAAGGCAAUAAUGUUUAUACAAAAAAAAUUCAACUUAAAAAAAAUAUUGCAGCAGUUGAAAAAAAAUCGCUGCAAAACGAGUAUCAAUGUAUUUAAUAACUGGACAUUUAGUAGGGGUUACAAAAAAACUGUUGCAAAAUGAUAUUAUUUAGCAGCGUCCCCUCAAAUCGCUACGAGAACCGCUACAAAAUAUGACUAUUUGGUAGCGUCUCUUAAAAUGGCCACAAAAACUGCUGGCAAAUUGUAUUUAGCAACGGUUUAAUAAAAUCGUUAUUAAAUAACCGCCGUUAUCUGCCAAUUUUCUUACAGUGUACUAAAGUGAGAAGGAUCCAUACAAAUAUUAUAUUUGUUGUAAUCUUUACCAUAUCUUCAAAUUUUUUUAAUUUAAAAAUACAGUCUAGGUUAAAAUCACAAACAAAAUAUUUUUUUCCUUUUGAUGGCUUCCAUCAAGGCCUUCUCAUGCAUAUUUAUAAAGUUGGAUUAAUGUCAAAAGUUAAUAAUAACUUAUAAUAUAUUCAUAAAAUACUUAAUUUUGGAUCUUUUAUAAUUAAUUCUUUCUAUUCUUAGUUUGUAACAACCAAAGUUGACCAUAUUCUCUCAUUAAUACGUGUGCAUAUAAAUAAAGUGAAAAUUACUUAAAAAUUGAAAAAUUAUUUGAUAAUAAUAAUAAUAAUAACUACUGUAGAUUUGAUUUAUUUAUAACAUUCUUUAGGUAAAAAAAAAAUAUAAUAGGUAAAAUAUCUUUUGAUAGACUACAAUCUUAAUUAAUUAAAAGAAAAGUGAAUGACUUAAUAAUGUUCACUAGAAUAAAAUCAUAAAAAUUUCAAUUUGAUUACUUAAAUAGUUUUUCCUUUUUUUUUGAAAGGAACCAAAAUGACUAAGGGAUUUGGUAAAAAUAUAAUGCAGAUCUCAAAUUUGUUGGUAAUCAAUUAUGAUUUAUUUAUGCAGUUAUAAUUAAUUGUUGGUUGAGAUAAAUUUUUUCUGAAAAAAUAUAUGAGGUAAAAUAUCUUUUGAUAUAUUAGAAUUAAAUGUUAAUUAAUCAAGAGAAUAGUCAAUGACGUAAUGUUGACAAGAAUAAAAUAAUCAAACUUUUCAAUCUACCUACCUUAUUUAAAUAUUAUGCUUUUUUUUUUUAGAAAGGGGUCAAGAGGAUUAGAGGGUUUGGUAAUAAUAUAAAUAUAUAAUACAGGAUCUCAAAUUUGUUAGUAAUAAAUUGUGAUUAAUUUGUUCAUCAGUUGUAAUUAAGUAAUAGAUUGUGAUUAAAAAUUAUGCUAAGGGAGGUUGUAAACAAGAUUAAUUGAUCUUUGGUAAUACAAUAAUUUAGAUAUUGAAAGAAAAAAAAUACUAGAUAAAAAGAAAAAUACUUACCAUUGGUGACUACUAAAGCAAGAAGAAUCAUCACAAAUGUUAUCUUUGUUGCAAUUUUCAUCAUGUCUUCUAAUUUUUGGAUUUAAAAUUACAGGCUAGGUUGAAGUCACAAAUAAAAU
rnacentral:lncRNA from 1 species